ACGGAGGGUGCAAGCGUUAUCCGGAAUCAUUGGGUUUAAAGGGUCCGCAGGCGGACGUAUAAGUCAGUGGUGAAAGCCUACAGCUUAACUGUAGAACUGCCAUUGAUACUGUACGUCUUGAAUUCGGUCGAAGUGGGCGGAAUGUGUCAUGUAGCGGUGAAAUGCAUAGAUAUGACACAGAACACCGAUAGCGAAGGCAGCUCACUAGGCCUGAAUUGACGCUCAGGGACGAAAGCGUGGGGAGCGAACAGG
rnacentral:rRNA from 1 species